rnacentral:lncRNA from 1 species
CUUUUCCAGAAAAAUGUUUGUUUCCUAACAUUUGGGAACUGCACUAUUGAAUGCCUCUGAGUACAGCUGAGGCCAGUUCUCUAGCAAUUGGAAGUUCCACCUGUGAAUAGUCUUGGGGAAUGCCUGGUUUCAGGUUUCUGUUCAGCAGCUGCUGUGGUAGUGGGUAGAGUGUGCUGUGGGCAGGGUGGUGACAACUGAUCUUUUUGUUCUUCUGUUUGCGUGUGCAACAGCUUUCAAUAGCUUCCCAACCACACUGCUGCAUGUGUUCUUUAUUCUGCAGGAAUCUGAUUGUCACUGAUAUGCCACUGACUUGUGCUUCUGGGAAACACCUUUACCUUCAAAUGCUGCAUCCAACCCAGCCAGACGGGAGUGUCUGGCAGACUCUGGACGUCCAAGGUAAAAAGUUAUAAGUUGGCUUGCUACUCUGAAUUCAUUUUUAAGCAAAAUCAUCCUUGGAGAACAAUAGUUACAGUUGCUGGAGUUAUUACAGCUGAUUUUGCCCCAGGCACAGUUCACUGGGGAGCUGGUACCUGGGGUUCCACUGAUAUCCCUGUCACUGGCAAGACUUCUAACAGGACACUUAGCAUCUUGUUAAUCCAAUGGCUUCAUUGA